CACGUAGGGGGCGAGCGUUGUCCGGAAUCAUUGGGCGUAAAGAGCUCGUAGGCGGCUCGGUAAGUCGGGUGUGAAACCCCCAGGCUCAACCUGGGGACGCCACCCGAUACUGCUGUGGCUAGAGUCCAGUAGGGGAGUGUGGAAUUCCCGGUGUAGCGGUGAAAUGCGCAGAUAUCGGGAGGAACACCAGCGGCGAAAGCGGCGCACUGGACCACAACUGACGCUGAGGCGCGAAAGCUAGGGGAGCAAACAGG
rnacentral:rRNA from 1 species